rnacentral:lncRNA from 1 species
UACGUGACAAUCUACAUAAUUCAGUAGCAGAUGAUUUAGUUGGGUUUUUUUUUCCUUCUCUUUUCUUUUCUUGAGACUGGCAGACUCCUUGUCCAGCAUCAUUCUAAACACACUGUUCACAUGUAAGCAUCUAAAGAUGAAGAAAGGGCGCCACGAAAUGCUCUACCAUAAACUUGGUUUGAAAGUAGAGAAAAGUUGCAGAAGUCCAGAGAGGCUGAAAGAUUAUAGGAGAAUUCUCAAUAUGGCUUUUAUAUACAGACUUCUUCUUUUAAUAACAUCUUAAGGGCUGGGAACCAAGGUUAUGCCGGCCUCACAGAAUGAGUUAGGAGGAUUUUUGACUUUUUUCCUUUCUCCGAGAGAGAAUGUCAGAUCUGUCUUAAAUGUGUUUGGAAGAAUUCCCAUUUGAACACUUGUUAGCCUGGAGUUCUCUUUGUUGGAACAUUUUAAUUAUGGAUCUAUUCUCUUCCAGAGACAGAGGAGCUCUUUUUGUGUAACUUUUUGAAUGCAAUUUCGUAAGACUAUAUUUUCUAAACUUCCCAAUCUUAUUUUAGUUUUUGUUUGUGUGUGAAUGUCUGAGGGGGUCAGAAGAGGGCACUGGAGCAGAAGUCACAGGUGGUCAUGAGCUAUGAAUUGUAGGUGCUGGGAACCAAACUGUGGUUCUUUAGAAGAGCAGUAAGUGUUCCUUGCCCCUG